AAAAGCGCGUUGAUGAGGAAUAGUAGUUUGCUAUGGGCGUAAUCAGAGAAUCGGCGGAAGGUGCAAGCCGAUCGUCACUUGCGAACGAACUCGCCUCGGAGUAUUGCGAUGAACUUGGCUCGCGGAUCGGAGGAAGCGAUUCCGCCGGCGAAUUGAAAUCGCAACGUCUUGCCCGCGUUAAGGGUCCAAAGGGAGCGAAGGCAAAGCAUGCCUCUCGCUAACUAGGGUGGUACCACGGGAAGCGAACCUCUCGUCCCUAGC
rnacentral:ncRNA from 1 species